rnacentral:rRNA from 1 species
AACGAACGCUGGCGGCAGGCUUAACACAUGCAAGUCGAGCGCCCCGCAAGGGGAGCGGCAGACGGGUGAGUAACGCGUGGGAAUCUACCCAUCUCUACGGAACAACUCCGGGAAACUGGAGCUAAUACCGUAUACGUCCUUCGGGAGAAAGAUUUAUCGGAGAUGGAUGAGCCCGCGGUGGAUUAGCUAGGUGGUGGGGUAAUGGCCUACCAAGGCGACGAUCCAUAGCUGGUCUGAGAGGAUGAUCAGCCACACUGGGACUGGGACACGGCCCAGACUCCUACGGGGGGCAGCAGUGGGGAAUAUUGGACAAUGGGCGAAAGCCUGAUCCAGCCAUGCCGCGUGAGUGAUGAAGGCCUUAGGGUUGUAAAGCUCUUUCACCGGUGAAGAUAAUGACGGUAACCGGAGAAGAAGCCCCGGCUAACUUCGUGCCAGCCGCCGCGGUAACAC